rnacentral:rRNA from 1 species
GACGAACGCUGGCGGCGUGCUUAACACAUGCAAGUCGAACGGAAAGGCCCUGCUUUUGUGGGGUGCUCGAGUGGCGAACGGGUGAGUAACACGUGAGUAACCUGCCCUUGACUUUGGGAUAACUUCAGGAAACUGGGGCUAAUACCGGAUAGGAGCUCCUGCUGCAUGGUGGGGGUUGGAAAGUUUCGGCGGUUGGGGAUGGACUCGCGGCUUAUCAGCUUGUUGGUGGGGUAGUGGCUUACCAAGGCUUUGACGGGUAGCCGGCCUGAGAGGGUGACCGGCCACAUUGGGACUGCGAUACGGCCCAGACUCCUACGGGAGGCAGCAGUGGGGAAUAUUGCAAAAUGGGCGGAAGCCUGAUGCAGCAACGCCGCGUGCGGGAUGACGGCCUUCGGGUUGUAAACCGCUUUCGCCUGUGACGAAGCGUGAGUGACGGUAAUGGGUAAAGAAGCACCGGCUAACUACGUG